rnacentral:rRNA from 1 species
UACGUAGGGUGCGAGCGUUGUCCGGAAUUACUGGGCGUAAAGAGCUCGUAGGUGGUUUGUCGCGUUGUUCGUGAAAACUCACAGCUUAACUGUGGGCGUGCGGGCGAUACGGGCAGACUGGAGUACUGCGGGGGAGACUGGAAUUCCUGGUGUAGCGGUGGAAUGCGCAGAUAUCAGGAGGAACACCGGUGGCGAAGGCGGGUCUCUGGGCAGUAACUGACGCUGAGGAGCGAAAGCGUGGGGAGCGAACAGG